AUGAGUAAAGCGGCGCACGGGUGAGUAACACGUAGAUAAUCUUCCUUCGGGUGGGGAAUAACACAGGGAAACUUGUGCUAAUACCGCAUACGUUAGCGCUCUUAGAUGAGCGUUAAGAAAGGGGGCCCUUAAAAGCUCUCGCCCUUAGAUGAGUCUGCGUCCCAUUAGCUAGUUGGUAGGGUAAUGGCCUACCAAGGCAACGAUGGGUAACUGGUUUGAGAGAACGACCAGUCACACUGGGACUGAAACACGGCCCAGACUCCUACGGGAGGCAGCAGUGGGGAAUAUUGCGCAAUGGAGGAAACUCUGACGCAGCGACGCCGCGUGAGUGACGAAGGCCUUCGGGUUGUAAAGCUCUGUCGGCUGGGAAGAAAUCGGAUGUGUUAAUACCACAUCCGGAUGACGGUACCAGCAAAGGAAGCACCGGCUAACUCUGUGCCAGCAGCCGCGGUAAUACAGAGGGUGCAAGCGUUGUUCGGAAUUACUGGGCGUAAAGAGCGUGUAGGCGGUUAUGAAAGUCAGAUGUGAAAUCCCCGGGCUCAACCCGGGA
rnacentral:rRNA from 1 species